rnacentral:lncRNA from 1 species
CUAAACAAGCCUUUGUGUUCAUAUCUAUUUAAAGAAAUGUAAGUAUAAAUAGACACAUGGAGAUAAGAGAAGAGUAUAUGAAUGAAAAAUAUUUUUUGUGUGCACAGACUGUGGCGUUUACAACAGUGUGCAUUUUAUUCGGCCACAAGGCUGUGUGCAUAGGUGAAUGGGUACAUUUGUAGUUUGUUGUAAGUGCAUAUCUGAUUAUGGUAUGCAUGAGUGUUGCAGGAUACUUGGGCGCAUGUGUCUCAGUAUGUGUUUUAUUUGAAUUUUUGAGUGUGACUGUGUAUUUGAAUGUCUUGAGUGACUGUGCAUAUAUAUGCUAGUAUUUGCUAAUACCUGACUUGCAUAUAUUCAGGUGAACAUAUCUGUACAUAGGCAUGUGUUGUGAAACACAGUUAAGGGUAUAUUUUUUGAAUAAGCCUGUGGGUAUGCCCAUCUGAAUACACAAAAGUGUGAAGUACCAGUUUGCACAGUUUUUAUUUGCAUUUGUAUGUUUGUAUUUAUCUUGGUUUGGUCUAAAGCAUAUAUUAUAGAAUAAUGUAUUUAAAUCUAUGUGCAUGCCACUCUUAAUUCACAAGUACAUUUAUGUGUGUAUGCAUUUAUUUAAGAUGUCUUUGCAUGUAUGUAUGUGAUGUGUGGGUCAAAUUUUCUUAUGCAGAUCAACAAGUGCGCAUGCAAGAAUACAUGAGUGUACUUCUAUAUGUGCAUGUGUUGAAAUAUGCCCUUAUGUUCUAUUCCAAUGUACAUAUAAGUUACUCUUCUUUCAUUUAUGUGGCUUCUCAGAAUGGGUGUGUGAAUGUAACAGUGUAUAUAUACUUGACUGUGAUUGUGUGCUUUGUGAGUAUCUGCGUUUCCAUAUUUAAUUGUAUACCUAUAAGAAUGAAUUAAAGUAUGUACAAACUAUAAGCAUGUGUACAUGACCAGAUGUGUAUACAAGUCUAUGUUAGAAUAUCUGCAUAUGUAUACUUCAUCUCAUUUAUAAGCAUUUGCAUAUUUGGGUACAGAUAUGUGUGAACACGCCUAUACAGAUAUGUAUGCGUCCGUGUGUGUUUGUAUGUGUGUCUGUGUAUGAAUAUACUUCUGUGGUUAUGUUUGAUGAUUUAUGUAUACACACUUGGGAGCUUCCUCUUCUGUACCCAUAUUUCUUUAUCAUCUCUUUAGAUAUGAUACAUAUAUUUUUACAUAUCUCUGUAGAUAUGUAAAAAUACUUUUUCUACCCGUGUCCCCACUUGUGUUUGUGAGUGAAUGCAUGUCAUUCAUGAGUAUAUCAUGUGAAUAUAGCCUAUUUUAAAGAGUAAAUGGAUGUACUUGUGACUAAGUCCAAUGGAAAUGUGCCUGUGUGUGAAUAAAUAAAGGUAUUUGUGCAUCUGCCUAUCGGA